rnacentral:rRNA from 1 species
AAUAUUGCACAAUGGGGGAAACCCUGAUGCAGCAACGCCGCGUGAAGGAUGAAGGUCUUCGGAUUGUAAACUUCUUUGAUGAGGGACGAAGAAUGACGGUACCUCAAAAACACGCCACGGCUAACUACGUGCCCGCAGCCGCGGUAAUACGUAGGUGGCGAGCUGUGUCCGGAAUUACUGGGUGUAAAGGGCGUGUAGGCGGGAUGUUAAGUCAGAUGUGAAAUUCCGAGGCUCAACUUGGGAGCUGCAUCUGAAACUAAUGUUCUUGAGUGCUGGAGAGGAAAGCGGAAUUCCUAGUGUAGCGGUGAAAUGCGUAGAUAUUAGGAGGAACACCAGUGGCGAAGGCGGCUUUCUGGACAGUAACUGACGCUGAGGCGCGAAAGCGUGGGGAGCAAACAGG